rnacentral:rRNA from 1 species
UACGUAGGGUGCGAGCGUUGUCCGGAAUUAUUGGGCGUAAAGAGCUCGUAGGCGGUGUGUCGCGUCGGCCGUGAAAACCUGGGGCUCAACUCUGGGCGUGCGGUCGAUACGGGGCAUCACUGGAGUUCGGCAGGGGAGACUGGAAUUCCUGGUGUAGCGGUGAAAUGCGCAGAUAUCAGGAGGAACACCGGUGGCGAAGGCGGGUCUCUGGGCCGAUACUGACGCUGAGGAGCGAAAGCCAUGGGUAGCGAACAGG